GAAAUAAUGAAUUAAUUGAAUAAAGAUUUAUUAUCAAUAAACUGAGCACUGUUGACAUAAUGAAUCAAAUAAUGCAUUAACACUAACAGAUUUUAUUUCUUUCAAAAAGAAUGAAUCACAAUAACAGCAUUUAUUGUUUUGUGUAAAAUGAAACAGCAGAAUUAGAAUUCUCUCAGUAUAAUUCUUCAGACUAAGCUGGUAAGUGAUAACCAGACCUUACUGGCGGGCUCAGGUAUCGACUGUUUACGUACAAGUAACCCUUUUCAUCUGGAAUAUUUGAUGUGUUAGGCACCGGAGAAAACCCGGAAUAUUUAUUAUCUAUCUUUGCCAAGCAUAGAUCAAAGAAGUACUUCAAAGGCUCACUUUUCUGGACAAAUGGUUGGGCUCUAUAUUCAUCCAAUGGCAUCCACUGGGCUGCAUCUAUCUCUGACUCCUGCUUCUGGAUGUCAAAGGAAAGGGGUUGUAGCAGGCAUAUGAAGCAUAAAUCUGACUUGUCAAAAAAUUCUCCGUGGCUUUGCCUGUAAAUUAUAUAAAGGGCAAGAUAAAUGUAUUUCCAAAAAGAGAUUAGUAAUAAACAGUAAGUUUUAGAUUUGCAGAAGAAGAAUUUUCUCUCAUUCUCUGAUCUAAUUUGCUUUAGGUCUCUCCAUCCUACAAAACACCCUUUUUAGGAAACGUGUAACACUAAAGGAGCAGAUCACCAUCCCAUGGACCUGGGACAUUGUUUGUUUGGGCAUACACUAGCAAGGGUAAAGCCAAAGAAUGCAGAUGAUGGUAAAUUAUAAAAGUAAACAGCAUACCUGAAUGCUAAUACUUCUACAAAUUCAGCAUCAAUAUCUGUCUCUUCUUUAACUUCUCUUACUGCAGCUGCACAGAUGUCUUCUCCCUCAUCGACAGUUCCUGUAGGGAACUUCCACACACCUUUCCCCCGAAGUAUUCCAUUCUUUUCUUGGACCACUAGUACCUCUCUCUUUUCAUUCAUUACAAAUGCACCAAUACCCACUCGGUGACUGGCAUUUGCAGGAAGAGUAUGAGUGCCCUCUGGGAUCCAGUAUAUAAGCAUCAAGUAUUUUGGCUCUGCAUGAUGGUACCAGAACCCUUCCUUCACAGCAGCUUCAACAAGAUUGACUAGCUCAAUAGGCAACUUGAUCCAAACACCCCUCUUACCCUGCUUUCUCCAAUGAGCAAUUGAGGCUCUAAGCAUUGAAGCAAAGUCUUCCGGGUGCAUAGGCUCGCUCAAUUCUACAAUAGCACCUUCAUGAUCAUCAUUGAUUGCUGCAAGGAGCUUAACCUGCUCCACUUCAUUUUCAUCUAUGAUUUUCUCCAUGGCAGGUGAUGAAAUUACAGAAGCCUAGAAAGUGGAGUUGCUGCUCUUGGACCAGCGAGCAAGAAAACUAAGAGAGCAAAUUAUUAACUGCAAAAGAAGAAGGAAAUUGGAUUGAUUUAAGGAAACCAGUGAAGAUUUGAAGAAGCAUACAAUCAUAUUUAUAACCAGCAAAGAAAUGGGUUCUUAAAAUAUGAAAAGAAAUAUCACAGAAAGAAAUCAAGCUUCCAUUUGUAAGAUUCAUAUCGUGGGUUUUGGGGCCCGGACUUUGAAUUGAAUCUCUCUCGUUAUGUUUUGUUGGGCGUGAAUCAAGCAAGAACAUCGCCCUCGAGAGGUUUGAAUGGAGAUUUGCAGUAGUAAAAGUACACUGCUCGGCCGCGCACGCAAUACUCUGACCACAAUGGACUCCGCCGUGGCCGGUGAUAUAUAAUUUAAAUUUUAAGGUUUGAAUGGAGAUUUGCAGUAGUAAAAGUACACUGCUCGGCCGCGCACGCAAUACUCUGACCACAAUGGACUCCGCCGUGGCCGGU
rnacentral:misc_RNA from 1 species